rnacentral:rRNA from 1 species
CGAGAGGCCUAACACAUGCAAGUCGAGGGGUAACAGGGGAGCUUGCUCCCGCUGACGACCGGCGCACGGGUGAGUAACGCGUAUGCAACCUGCCCGCCACAGGGGGAUAGCCUUCCGAAAGGGAGAUUAAUACCGCAUAAGACCACGGCCUGGGCAUCCAGGAGGGGUAAAAUAUUCAUAGGUGGCGGCUGGGCAUGCGUGACAUUAGCUAGUUGGCGGGGCAACGGCCCACCAAGGCGACGAUGUCUAGGGGAACUGAGAGGUCGAUCCCCCACACUGGUACUGAGACACGGACCAGACUCCUACGGGAGGCAGCAGUGAGGAAUAUUGGUCAAUGGAGGAAACUCUGAACCAGCCAUCUCGCGUGAAGGACUACGGCCCUACGGGUCUUAAACUUCUUUUAUAGGGGGAUAAAGUCGCAUACGAGUAUGUGAUUGCAGGUACCCUAUGAAUAAGCAUCGGCUAACUCCGUGCCAGCAGCCGCGGUAAUACGGAGGAUGCGAGCGUUAUCCGGAUUUAUUGGGUUUAAAGGGUGCGCAGGCGGCGCGUUAAGUCAGCGGUGAAAUGUCGGGGCUCAACCCCGGCACUGCCGUUGAAACUGGCGUGCUCGAGUACGGAUGAAGCGGGCGGAAUGUGAUGUGUAGCGGUGAAAUGCUUAGAUAUGUCACAGAACACCGAUUGCGAAGGCAGCUCGCUAAUCCGCAACUGACGCUCAUGCACGAAAGCGUGGGGAUCGAACAGGAUUAGAUACCCUGGUAGUCCACGCAGUAAACGAUGAAGGCUAGCUAUUGGCGAUAUACAGUCAGUGGCCAAGGGAAACCGAUAAGCCUUCCACCUGGGGAGUACGCCGGCAACGGUGAAACUCAAAGGAAUUGACGGGGGCCCGCACAAGCGGAGGAACAUGUGGUUUAAUUCGAUGAUACGCGAGGAACCUUACCCGGGCUCAAACGACAGGGGAAUUAAUCGGAAACGGUUAAGCUAGCAAUAGUCGCUGUCGAGGUGCUGCAUGGUUGUCGUCAGCUCGUGCCGUGAGGUGUCGGCUUAAGUGCCAUAACGAGCGCAACCCCUAUUGAUAGUUGCCAUCAAGUAAAGUUGGGGACUCUAUCGAGACUGCCGGCGCAAGCUGUGAGGAAGGCGGGGAUGACGUCAAAUCAGCACGGCCCUUACGUCCGGGGCGACACACGUGUUACAAUGGUAGGUACAGCGGGAAGCCAUAUGGUGACAUAGAGCAGAACCCGAAAACCUAUCUCAGUUCGGAUUGUAGUCUGCAACUCGACUACAUGAAGCUGGAAUCGCUAGUAAUCGCGAAUCAGAAUGUCGCGGUGAAUACGUUCCCGGGUCUUG